rnacentral:rRNA from 1 species
UACGAAGGGUGCAAACGUUGCUCGGAAUCAUUGGGCGUAAAGCGCACGUAAACGACUCCGCAAGUCGGAUGUGAAAUCCCUCAGCUCAACCGAGGACGUGCAUCCGAAACUGCAGAGCUUGAGUAUGAAAGAGGGUCGCGGAAUCCCCGGUGUAGAGGUGAAAUUCGUAGAUAUCGGGGGGAACACCAGUGGCGAAGGCGGCGACCUGGGCCAAUACUGACGCUGAGGUGCGAAAGCGUGGGGAGCAAAC